AACGCAAGUUGCGCCCGAGGCCUCUUGGCCGAGGGCACGCCUGCCUGGGCGUCACGCCAAACACGCUCCCACCCAACUAACUUGGGGUGGGACGCGGCAUGUGGCUCCUCGUCCCGCAAGGGGCGGUGGGCCAAAGAUCCGGCUGCCGGCCUAUCGUGCCGGACACAGCGCGUGGUAGGCGACCUCGCUUUACUAAACGCAGUGCCUCCGGCGCGUAGCCGACGCGAUGGCCCGAAUGGACCCUUUUAACGGAGUGCAUGACGCUUCGACCGCGACCCCAGGUCAGGCGGGACUACCCGCUGAAUUUAA
rnacentral:misc_RNA from 1 species